rnacentral:tRNA from 1 species
AUAUAUAUAGUAUAAUAAAUUACAUUUAAUUUCCAAUUAAAAAAUUUAAUAACAUAUUUAAUAUAUAUA